GUCGCUCAGGGGAACAUUGAUGCCAGUCAGCAGCGUCAGGCUGAGUUGUACAACCGGAAGACGAAGGGCUGUAACAUUGAGUUGGGUGAUCAAGUUCUCCUGGCCAACAAAGGUGAACGUGGGAAAAGAAAAUUAGCAGACAGGUGGGAGUCCACACCCUAUAGGGUAGUAGCGCUGAACCCCCAGUGCCACAUUUAUCGCAUUCGUAACACCAAAACGGGCCAGGAGAAAACUGUUCAUCGUAAUUUGCUGUUGCAAGCCAACUUCUUGCCGCUCGAGUUGGGAGGUCCUGAAUCACCUGGGGAUAGUGGUGAAUCUGUCCUUGGAAGCAGGAGUGCAUCCUUGGAUAAUGUUAGUUCUGCAGCUGAGAUGUGUUCUGUCCCUGACCGAGUUGCCAGUUGGGUGGAAAGAACCACAAUUUCUGAAGAUCCUCAGCAGAGAUUGUCCUACAGAUCUGAUAGUGCUGGUUCAUUGGAUGUAGUCCCCGAGUCAUUGGUUCAGGAGCAAUUGUCGUCAAAAGAUGAUUAUACCAAAGGAAACAGCAAUGUAGUCAUUCCAGAUGAAGGACUGAGUAGUGAUUCUUGCAGUUCGCUUUCUGAGGCAGUUCUCCAUGAUGACCGUUGCGUUUCACCUGCUAGAGUUGUUGAGCCACUUCCUAGUCAAGGAGAAGCGAUAGUUCGAACCAGAGUGGGUAGGAUGGUGAGACCUGUCAACAGGUUGAUAGAGAAUAUGGCUCAAUCUAUCAGAACACUGAAUCCAGUUGGUGGGGUUGUAAGAUCUUUAUUGAAAUAAGAAUGUAUUGUAUUAAACCAUUACAUUGUAAUACAAUAUUGUUUUCUUUAAGUUUUAAGGUUAAGUCUCUGUGAGUCAGUGCAUUUCAGCACAUUUGUUGUUCCAGAUCCAAGAUUAAGUUGAGAUGAAUGGUGUUUAAGGCACCUUUUGCGGGUGAUUGCAGUGGGCCUGAUCAACCUUAUGUACACACCUUCCCUGCGAGUGGGAAACAUUUUGUUGCACCAUGUUCUGGAAAACAGUUGGUCUAAAUAGCUCCAGUGUAUACAAUCCCUGUAUAAGACAAAAUUUGUGAAGUUCAGGGUGGAGAAUGUAACUGGUGAAAAUUAACCUUUGACUUGUUUUUUAUUGUAUUAUUUUUUUUCUGUAUUUUACUGUUUAAGUUUUCCUAUUUUUGUAUUUAGAAUGGCUUAAUGAACCUCACAAAAUUUUGUUCACAUUAUUGUUCAUGAGUAAGAGAACAUAACGUUAAAAUAGCGGAACUUUUCCCUGAGUGUUUGUUUGGGGAGGGAGCGUCAUCGGUGGAACACUUCCGGGGUUUCUCCUCGUGCGGUCUGUAAUAGCCUCAGUCUACCUGAGUGAGAGGCUCGUGAGCGCACGCAAUGUUGCUUCUCUCCAUGAAUGUUACUGAGUGUUACACGAGAGAGAGAGAAGCUGAAGCCCCGUUGAUCCACUGAUGAUCUCUCUGUUUACAGGUGUGUUGUUUAAUUAGUUCUGUUUUGUGAAAGGAAAGAGAUCUGGUUGACUGUUAAUAAA